rnacentral:rRNA from 1 species
ACAGAUGGCCAUACCACCUUGAACACACACGCCCCCCCCCCAUCUCCUCUGAUCUCAGAAGCUAAGCAGGAUUGGGCCUGGUUAGUACUUGGAUGGGAGCAAGUAUUUAAAUUUUUGUACACUGUUUUCU